UCAUCAUUAAAUUCCACUAAUCACUAGCAGACCAGAAGAUCCUGCUCCCAUCAUAGUCCACCAAAAUCACUAGUGGACCAAUUUACGGACCGGAGGAUCUCUGCCUGUCUCGGCCCUAAUCCUUCGCUUCCUCCGGUGUAGCUCACUCGUCGCCUCCAUUUCGGCGACCGCCCCUUUUCCCUCCGUCGCCCCCUCUUCACCGAGCUGAGCGGGCGUCGUGCAUUCGUUGCGUACAGAAGCGACGAACUUUAGGGAUGGCGGGCAGCUCAAGCAACAACUCCAGCAAGCCUCUGCCAACUUAAGUCCCGUUAGCUUCUCUUGAUCAUGGCAGCAAGCUCCUACUUGAAUUGCAGGGGACUGGAGAAGGUCUGGCCGAAUGCCCAGUUGGAAGGAACUAUGUUAGGGAACACCAAUGUCUGUCCAUCGCUGGUGGUGACCUUGAAGGAGAGAGACUGACGGGUGAGGUAGCUGUUAGAUUGCCAAUUCACUCCCCAAUUCCUCGACAUUGAGAGCCAGUCAGUUUGGGACCCUUUCACUGAUAUGGCCUGUAUUGAUCCAGCGGCGCCAACAUUGGUCACUAGAACAAGCUGAAAAUAGUCGUGCCCAUUGAUGGUGAACCUUACUCCGCCAUGCUUCUUGCAUGGUACCCUAUAAAGAUUCAUCAGGAAGAUGAACUUCUUUAGUGAGAGGCAUCACAUGGUCACAUGCUGAUAACAGGUUUCAGCACAUGGAUCAUGAAACCAGUGGCACUAAAAAUAAAAGAGGAUACAAAUAUUUUUUUGUUUGGCUUGGAUUGGUUUCAUUCAAAGUAUGAAGCAUAUACUUCCCAGCCAAAUAAAAAACCUUCACAGGCUACAAGUGAUCGGUCUACCAUUGGGGAAAGGGAAAUAUGCUCCUGUGCUCUCACCUAGAUCUGAAGAAAAGGGUAAAGAAUGACUAAACUAAAAGGAGCAGCAGGAGAGGCAAAGGAUGUGUGUAGCAGUGACAUUGUGGAAGACAUCUGUUUUGUGUUUCAAGACUUAUACAUGUUCUAAGUUUUGCAUGUUAACUUGUUUUUCUACUUGAUGCUUUUAAUGGUUGCUAUUUGACUA